UACUAAUCUACUUUAAUUAAGAUAGAAAUUAUUAUUCUUAAUCAUAUAGGAUUUGGAUUAUGAUAAAGUCUUCUAAUAAUUAUUGUAUUAGAAUAGUUAGGACUUUAAUUAAUUAAACUAGUUAAGUUGUAUAGAAAUUUCAUUUGACACACUCUUCCAUUUAUUUUGAUCGAAACAGGAGAUUAACUAGUUAUUUAUUUUAUUAAAAUGUGCAAAUAGGAGGCCAAUUUGGUUUCCCAGCCCACGUGUGAAUUCAAGCAGCAAACAAUCAGAUUCACGCCUCUUUGUCCUUUUCCUUAUUAUAAUUGUAGUUGAUUUUGAACUUAUCAAAACCAAUAAACAAUCAGAUUCAUCAAAAUAGAAGAUCAGUCCACGUGUGUAAAGGUCAUGCAGCCUCUUUAUCUUUAUCCUUUCCUUAUCUGAUAUAAAACUCGACAGAAUCCCAUAAGAAAUCACCAAUCAGAAUUUCAAACUAAUUUAUGGGAUCAGAAUUCUAAACUAACUUAUGUGAUGUGCACAGAAAUUUAGAAUUCAAAACUUAUCAAAAUUCCACUUCCCACGUGAUUACCCUACACCAUGGUUUAGUAUAAAUAUAGCACUAAACCUCAAGCAUUCAGUCAUUAAUUCAUCAUUCUUCUUCUGCACGUCUUUAUUCUCUUCUCCUCUUUAAAAUAUUUCUCCAUAUUAUUAAGCCUUUUUAAGGCCUUGGAAUCGCAAUAAAGAAUCACGUUUUCAGCAAUUUUAUUUUCCACGUUCAUCUUCAAAAGGUGAGAUGCUUAGUGCUAUUAGUGGUUUGUCCACAUCUUUUCAAAUACGUUGUUAUGUAUGGAUUUAAUUACUUCAGUUCAGAGCUCCUUUGGGAGAAAUCAUGAUACAGUUUAAGGCACAAUUUAGCCUUCACGUUAUUUGCAGCGCUUGCUUGAAUUAUCAUUUGUCAUGGUGUGAUAAUUCUCAUGUUAUGUUGGUAAGAGAAUUUAUGCAUAAUUUCACGUUUGAUUUGAAUGUGGAGUAGCAAGCACCUCAUUGAGUAUAAUUCGUUAUACUCAUCCCUCUCUAUUUACAAUUUUCAGGUAGAAAUUAGUAUACUGGACGGCGGUGGAUGGAUGCAUAUUGGACCAAUGGAUCUCCAUCAUGAAGUACUAUAAUUUUUAGAAACACUAGAAUAUUUAAUAACAGUUGAUUAUUAUUAUUUUUAAAUUUAGACUCAAUUGUGAGUCACGUCAUAACUUUCAAUUAGUCCUAUUUUUAUUAUUUGUUAGAACUACUUUUAUUAAUGUUUGAUAAAAGAUAUGAUUCCAAAUUGUUCCGCAUAUGUUAUUUAAUUUAAUUUACCUUUUGUUAAGGUUGUUCAAUUUUUAUUGAAUUCCUCGUUAUAUUAAAAUGUAUUUGCCUCAAGCACUUUAUUAAUCAAUUCACGUUUGGUAACGUUCCGGGUUGCUAGAGAAUUCGGGGCGUUACACUCGGUGCAUUAGUGAGUCCAAAUAGCAUAACCAACCAUUCAUACAAUCCAUACUUAGUCUUAAACGUCGUUUUCCAUUCAUCACCCUCCCGCAUGCGAAUUUGAUGAUACCCACUCUUAAGAUCAAUCUUACUAAAAAUGCAAGCACCAUGCAACUCAUCAAGCAUAUCAUCUAGCCUAGGUAUUGGUGACGAUACUUUACCAUGAUAUUGUUGAUAGCUCGGCAAUCCACGCACAUUCUCCAAGUCCCAUCUUUCUUAGGCACCAACAAAACAGGUACAACACAUGGACUCAUGCUCUCCCUGACAUAACCUUUGUUCAUCAACUCCUCCACUUGCUUUUGAAGCUCCUUCGUCUCCUCGGGAUUGCUUCGGUAAGCUGGUCGAUUCGGUAUGACAGCUCCGGGUACAAAGUCAAUCUGGUGCUCGAUGCCUCUGAUUGGUGGCAAUCCACUUGGCAUCUCCUCAGGAAACACAUCGUCGAACUCCUGCAAUAAAGACUUAACCAAACUAGGGAGGGAUGUGUUAGAAUCCUCAAAAUUGAGGAAGGACUCCUUGUACACUAACAAUAUCAUUUGCCUAUUAUCGCUCAUAGCCUUUUUCAACUCACUCUCUUUUGCAUAGAAGUUGACUUUUGGCUUUUCUCUCCGCUCAGCUGACUCUUUUUCUCUCCUCUCAACUGACUCUUUUUCUCUCCGCUCAUGUGGCUUCUCUCUCUUUUCUCCACUCUCAGCCACCUCACUAUUUUCUCUCUUAGUGAUGGUUUCACUAUUGCCUCUCCUUUUUCCUGACUCUCUUAUUCUCUUGUCUUCCUCACUUUUCAGCUUGAUUUGAUCUCCAUACACUUGUGCCGAUGUUAAUGGCGCAAGAGUAAUAGUUUUCCCAUCCUUGACAAAGCUAUAACGAUUCCUAUAACCAUCAUGUGUGACCCUUCUAUCAUAUUACCAUGGCCUUCCUAAUAAGAUAUGACCUACAUGCAUAGGCACCACAUCACAUACUACUUUGUCACUAUAACUCCCAAUUGAGAAAUUAAUUAAAACUCUUUUAUUCACCCUAAUUUCUCCACUUUCAUUCAACCAUUGCAACUUAUAAGGCCUAGAGUGUCUUAACAAUGCUAGUCCUAAUUUCUCAACUAAAGUUGUACUAGCUACAUUCGUGCAACUCCCACCAUCAAUAAUCAUACUACAUACCUUAUCGUUGAUGUAACAACGUGUGUGGAAUAUAUUUUCUCGCUACUACUCCGAAUCAUCCACUUUGACUUGAGUGUUAAGAGCUCUCCUUGACAUCAACGAUUCCCCAACAGCAAACUCCAAUUUUUCUUCUUCUUCCACGUCCUCCAAUGCAGGCAUAUCCUCAAACUCUCCUUCACUUUCACGCACCACCUCUCCAUUAUCCAACAAAACCAUUACCGUUUAUUUGGGCAUUGAGAAGCAAUGUGCCCUGACCCCAAGCAUCUGAAACACUUGAUGUCUCGAUUCCUUGAUGGUUGUGAAUCUAUUUUGGGUGCUGUUUUGCUAGCACUUUCUUCUUUCCCUUUCUGCCACUCAUUCCUACCUUUAGGUACUGCUUUAUCACCUUUGUUGUUGUUGUUCCACCCUGGCUUCCAAGAUGGACUAACACUCGAAGUUCCUAACGGCUGCCUAGCUGCCCCUUUCAUCUUCAGCUGUCUCUCUAUCUUCAUAGUCACAUGCAACAUGUCUUCCAACUCCAUAUAAUGUUGCAACUUCACUACAUUGGCAAUUUCCCUAUUCAACCCAUUCAAGAAUCAUGCCAUGGUAGCCUCUUGAUCCUCCAUCACAUUGGCCCUAAUCAUGAGUAUUUCCAUCUCCUUAUGAUAGUCCUCUACACUUUUCGACCCUUGAUAUAGACCUUGCAAUUUUUGAUGGAUCUCUCGGUAAUAGUGGCUAGGAACAAACCUCUUUCUCAUCAAUGACUUCAAUUCCUCCCAAGUGCUGAUUGGUCUUUCCCCACUCAUACGUUGUGAAGUAAUCACUUGAUCCCACCAUGAAAUUGCAUAGUCACUGAACUCCAAAAUUGCUAACUUCACCUUUUUCUCCUCCGAAUACUUAUAACACUCGAAGAUCAUUUCAACCCUCCUUUCCCACUCCAGGUAUGCCUCGGGAUCACUCCUUCCUUUGAAUGAAGGAAUUGUCAUUUUUAUAUUUCCCAAGUUUCCAUCCAACUCCUCCCCGCGAUCAUUCCAACCCCGUCUGUCGAACCUAUCGCCUCUAUUCCUCAUCCUUCCCAUCUCAACACUGUGAAAUUCAUCUUCGCCCAUGUCACUCUCAUAUCCAUACUCCUCUUGCCUUUCCCUCCUAGGCUCCCAUCUAUCCGGUCCUCUGGCAUUGAAUACAUCCACUCGAUGUCCCCGACUAAGAUUAGCCACCGAUGUAUCUAAUCUAUUCAUCCAAGCCUCCUGCUUCUCCAACCUAUCUCUCACAUCUCCAAAUGCCUCUCAAACCUUUGCACUAAAUCCUCCGUUGCAUUGCUAUUAUUGCCUUGUCGGCUUAAGUUUGAUUCUGCCCUUUCUGACAUCCUAACACUAAAAUUUUAUUUUACUACCUCACUAAAAGUCACUCGAAAACACACACACAAGGCUUUUAUCCUCUAUUAAGCUCACCUCUCUGCCUUUCACCACUCAAUUCUUUCAAAAAUUGCUUCUAGGAACAAUCAAUGAACUCAAUCAAUCAAUCAAUUCUUGUAGAAUUUCCCAAACUGGAUGUGACUCAAUAAUUGUAACAAAGGACUCAAAGAAAACUUUUAAAACUUGAUUUAAAUUGAAGGAAUGGAACGAUUCAAUGUGUCCAAGUAAUUUAGAAACGAUAAUGAAUAAUAAAAGUUGGUAUUUGAUGGAUCAAUAAUAUUCAACAAUUUUUUUUACUGUACGGAUGAAUAGUACCGUACAGAUGAACAGUAAUUUCUUUUUUUUUAGAUCCGAAAAUCAAUAACAAAACCAUCAAAGAAAACGAAAACUGAUUUGGGCGAAAAUUGAGCCUUAAAAGGAAUUUGAAGAUUUUUGAUGAAAUUUUUGGAUCAAAGAUCAAGAAAACCUUCUAGACACAAGAACACAAGAAAUUAAAAAAAACAAUAGAAAACAAAGGAUAUAACCUAAUUAAAUUGGAACCAAAACUCUGAUACCAACUGAUGCGAACCCCUAGCAAUAGAAACUACGAAACCCACAACGAGAUUGAUGCGGAACCCAAGAACGCCAAUACUAACCCGGUUUUGGAUCUUGAACCCCAAGAAUUGAACCAAGAAACCCUAGAUUAGUAAAGAACCUAAAACCCCUUGAUUACAAUUGAAAGAACCCACAAUCCGAUUGAUAGAACGCCACAAGAAGUCGAAUUUUAAUAAGUUCCAAGAUUGUUCAAGAAGAACAAUUAAAUUGAAAGAAUAAUUCUCUCUCUAUAAUAUAAAGCAAUGUCAAAAGUUCAAAUGUUUUUACAAUGAAAAAUUAUUCUCCUAUUUAUACUAUUCCUCAAAUAGGAGUCAAAAAGGAAACAUAAUUCUAAUAAUCUAACAAAAUUCCUAAAAUAUUCGUCCAAUAUGGUAGGAGUUUGAUUAAGAAUGAAAUUCUAGUAAAAUAAGGAAAAAAAGGAAAAUCACGCCCAGAAAUGAACCAUGCGGUCGCAUGGUUAUAACACGUGCGGCCGCAUGGUAAUAAGAUUUUGGCCAAUUGAAAUCUCGGUAUCAUGCUAUGUGGUCGCACCGUGCGACCGCAUGGUUACACUGCCCACUCUCGUCUUCGGCUGCUUAUAACGCAUUGAUCCAUUUUGUUUUGGCCUUCGACCCGAACACGAAACUUGUCCCAUUUUGAGUCCCGAACAUGGUUCCAUCAAUAGUUUCUUGAACGAGCAAUCCAUCGCUUGUUUCACUUGCUUUGCCCUUGAUCGUGUCAUUGGUCCGCCAUCGACUAUCAACGGGUCUCGUCUCGCACUUGCCUUUGUCAGGCUCGACUCCUGGAUCAUAUCAUUUCCAAUCUAACUGUCACUUGACAACAAUGCAUGUGUCAAACAACGUGUCAAAAAUUAGUGUACCAAUAGCAAAGUUCAAUCGGUAAGAACCUUCCUUCAUGUGCACUAUGGUGUACGCUUUAGUUUAUACUUUGCCACGUGACAUAUCCCUGUUUGACAAUUAAAUUUCAAACAAUUCUCCAAUCUAAUUGACGCUUUACAACAAUGCAAGUGUUAAACAACGUGCCAAAAAUAAGUGUACAAAUAGCAAAGUUCAAUCGGUAAGAACCUUGAGACAUGUACACAAUGAUGUACACUUUAGUUUACACUUUGCCACGCGACAUUACCCAUCUGACAGUUUAAAUUUUAAAGAGUUUUCCUAUCCAAUAGACACUUGACAACAAUGCAAGUAUUAAACAACGUGUCAAAUAUCAGUGUAUAAAUAGUAAAGUUCAAUCGGUAAGAAAUGCAAGUGUCAAACAACGUGUCAAAAAUCAGUGUACAAAUACCAAAGCUCAAUCGGUAAUAAAAUUGAGACAUGUACACUAUGGUGUAUACUUUAGUUUACCCUUUGUCACUUGACAUUACCCUAUUGGAAAGUUUAAAUUUCAAACAGUUUUCACACCCCAAUUGGCACUUGACAACAAUGCAAGUGUCAAACAGUGUUCCAAAAAUCAGUGUACAAAUAGCAGAGUUCAAUCGGCGGUAAGAACCUUGUUUCAUGUACACUAUGGUGUAUACUUUAGUUUACACUUUGCCACAUGACAUUACCCUGUUGGACAGUUUAAAUUUCAAACACUUUCCUAUCCAAUUGACACUCGACAACAGUGCAAGUGUCAAACAACAUCUCACAGAUCAGUGUACAAAUAACAAAAUUCAAUCGGUAAGGACCAUGCUACAUGUACACUACGGUGUACAAUAGUUUACACUUUGCCACAUGAUAUUAUCCUGUUGGACAGUUUAAAUUUCAAACAAUUUUCCCAUCCAAUUGACACUUGAUUACAAAGGAAGUGUGAAAAAUCAUGUACAAAUGAAAAAGUUCAAUCGGUUAGAACCUCACUACACGUACACUAUGGUGCACACUGUAGUUAACCCUUUGCAUUGUGACAUUACCCUAUUUGACAGUUUAAAUUUCAAACAGAUUUCGCAUCCAAAUGGCACUUGACAACAACACAAGUAUCAAACAACAUGUAAAAAAUUAGUGUACAAAUAGCAAAGUUCAGUCGGUAAGAACCGUGCGACAUGUACACUAUGGUGUGCACUGUAGUUUACAUUUUACCACUUGACAUUACCCUUUUGGAUCGUUUAAAUUUCAAAUAGUUUUCCAUCCAAUUAACACUUGAUAACAAUACAAGUAUCAAACAACGUGUCGAAAAUCAGUGUACAACAAGUAAAGUUCUAACAAUAAGAACCUGGCUUUAUGUAUAAUAUAGUGUACACUUUAGUUUACACUUUGCCACGAGAUAUUACCCUGUUGGGUAGUUUAAAUUUCAAACAGUUUUCCCAUCCAAUUUACAUUUGACAAAAAUGCAAGUGUCAAACAACGUGUCAAAAAUCAGUGUACAAAUAGCAAAGUUCAAUUGGUAAGAACCUUGCUACAUGUACACUCUGGUGAACACACUUUAGUUUAAACUUUGCCACGUGACAUUACCAUGUAGGACAAUUUAAAUUUGAAACAGCUUUCCUAUCCAAUUGACAAUUUACGACGAUGCAAGUGUUAAACAACGUGUCAAAAAUUAGUGUACAAAUAAUAAAGUUCAAUCGGUAAGGACCUUGCUGCAUGUACACUAUGGGGUACACUUUAGUUUGCACUUUGCCACUUGACAUUACCCUGUCGAAUAGUUUAAAUUUCAAAUAGUUUUCCCACCCAAUUGACACUUGGGAACAAUGCAAGUGUUAAACAAUGUGUCAAAAGUCAGUGUAAAAGUAGUAAAGUUCAAUAGGUAAAAACCUUGCUUCAUGUACACUAUGGUGUGAACUUUAGUUUACACUUUCCCACGUGAGAUUACCCUUUUGGGCAGUUUAGAUUUCAAACAUUUUUCCCAUCCAAUUGACACUUGACAACAACGCAAGUUUCAAAUAACAUGUCAAAAAUCAGUGUACAAAUAGCAAAGUUCAAUCGGUAAGAACCUUGCUACAUGUACACUAUGGUGUACACACUUUAGUUUACGUACUGCCAAGUGACAUCACCCUGUUGGACAGUUUAAAUUUCUAAUAGUAUUCCUAUCCAAUUGACACUCGACAACAAUACAAGUGUCAAACAACGUCUCAAAAAACAUUGUACAAAUAACAAAGUUCAAUCGUUAAAGACCAUGCUACAUGUACACUAUGGUGUUCUCUUUAGUUUACACUUUGCCACGUGACAUUACCCUAUUGGACAGUUUAAAUUUUAAACAAUUUUCCCGUCCAAUUGACACUUGAUUACAAUGGAAGUGUCAAACAACCUGUCAAAAAUCAAAGUACAAGUGGCAAAAUUCAAUCGGUAAGAACCUUACUACACGUACACUAUUGUGCACACUUUAGUUAACCCUUUGCCUUGUGACAUUACCCUAUUUGAUAGUUUAAAUUUCAAACAGAUUUUGCAUCCAAAUGGCACUUGACAACAACGCAAGUGUCAAACAACGUGUCAAAAAUUUGUGUACAAAUAGCAAAGUUCAAUCGGUAAGAACCUUGCUACAUGUACACUAUGGUGAACACACUUUAGUUUAAACUUUGCCACGUGACAUUACCCUGUUGGAAAGUUUAAAUUUCAAACAGUUUUCCUAUCCAAUUGACACUUGACAACAAUGCAAGUGUUAAACAACGUGUCAAAAAUUAGUAUACAAAAAUAACAAAGUUCAAUCGGUAAGGACCUUGCUACAUGUACACUAUGGGAUACACAUUAGUUUUCACUUUGCCAAGUUAUAUUACCCUGUUGUACAGUUCAAAUUUGAAAUAUUUUUCCCAUCUAGUAGACACUUGACAACAAUGUAAGUGUCAAACAACGCGUCAAAAAUAAGUGUAUAAAUAGCAAAGUUCAAUUGGUAAGAAAUGUAAGUGUCAAACAACGUGUUAAAAAUCAGUGUACAAAUAGCAAAGUUCAAUCGGUACGAACCUUGCUACAUGUACACUAUGGUGUACAUGCUUUAAUUUACACAUUGUCACGGGACAUUAUCCUGUUGGACAGUUUAAAUUUCUAACAGUAUGCCUAUCAAAUUGACACUCGACAACAAUACAAGUGUCAAACAACUUUUCAAAAAUCAGUGUACAAAUAACAAAGUUCAAUCGGUAAGGACCAUGCUACAUGUACACUAAAGUGUACUCUUUAGUUUACACUUUGCUACGUGACAUUACUCUGUUGGGCAGUUUAAAUUUCAAACAAUUUUUCCAUCCAGUUGACACUUGAUUACAAUGUAAUUAUCUAACAACGUGUCAAAAAUUAUAUACAAAUGGCAAAGUUCAAUCGGUAUAAACCUCGCUACACGUACACUAUGGUGCACACUUUAGUUAAUCCUUUGCCUAGUGAUAUUACCCUAUUUGACAAUUUAAAUUUCAAAAAGAUUUCACAUCCAAAUGGCACUUGACAACAAUGCAAGUGUCAAACAACGUGUCAAAAAUCAGUCCACAAAUAGCAAAGUUCAAUCAGUAAGAACCCUGCCACAUGUACACUAUGGUGUAUGCACUUUAUUUUACACUUUGCAACGUGAAACUACCCUGAUGGACAGUUUAAAUUUCAAACAGUUUUCGCAUUCCAUUGGCACUUGAUAAAAUGCAAGUGUCAAACAACAUGUCAAAAAUCAGUUUAAAAAUAGCAAAGUUCAAUCGGUAAGAACCUUACUGCAUGUACACUCUGGUGAACACACUUUAGUUUAAACUUUGCCAUGUGACAUUACCCUGUUGGACAGUUUAAAUUUCAAACAAUUUUCCUAUCCAAUUGACACUUGACAACAAUACAAGUGUCAAACAACGUGUUAAAAAUCAGUGUACAAGUAACAAAGUUCAAUCGGUAAGGACCUUGCUACAUGUACACUAUGGGGUACAAAUCAUUUACACUUUGCCACGUGACAUUACCCUGUUCGAUAGUUUAAAUUUCAAAUAGUUUUCCCAUCCAAUUGACACUUGACAACAAUGCAAGUGUCAAACAACGUGUCAAAAAAGUGUACAAAUAACAAAGUUCAAUCGGCAAGAACCUUACUUCAUGUACACUUUGGUGUACACUUUGCCACGUGACAUUACCCUGUUGGAUAAUUUAAAUUUCAAACAGUUUUUCCAUCCAAUUGACAGUUGACAACAACGCAAGUGUCAAACAACGUGUCAAAAAUCAGUGUACUAAUAGCAAAGUUCAAUUGGUAAGAACCUUGCUUUAUGUACACUAUAGUGUACACUUUAUUUUACACUUUGCCACGUGACAUAACCCUUUUGGGUAGUUUAAAUUCCAAACAGUUUCCCCAUCCAAUUUACACUUGACAACAACGCAAGUGUAAAAAAUUUGUGUACAAAUGGCAAAGUUCAAUCGGUAGGAACCUUGCUACAGGUACACUCUGGUGAACACACUUUAAUUUAAACUUUGCCACGUCACAUUACCCUAUUGAACUGUUUAAAUUUCAAACAAUUUUCCUGUCCAAUUGGCACUUGACAACAAUGCAAGUGUCAAACAACAUGUAAAAAAUCAGUGUACGAAUAGUAAUGUUCAAUCGGUAAGGGCCUCGCUACAUGUACACGAUGGUGUACAGUUUAUUUUACACUUCUCCACAUGACGUUACCUUGUUGGAUGUUUUAAAUUUCAAGAAAUUUUCCUAUCCAAUUGACACUUGACAACAAUGCAUUUGUCAAACAACGUGUCAAAAAUCAGUGUACAAAUAGCAAAGUUUAAUCGGUGAGAACCUUGCUUCAUGUACACUAUAGUGUACACUUUAGUCUAUACAUUGCCACAUGACAUAUCCUAGUUGGACAGUUAAAUUUCAAACAGUUCUUCCAUCCAAUUAACACUUGACAACAAUGCAAGUGUCAAACAACGUGUCAAAAAUGAGCGUACAAAUAGCAAAGUUCAAACGGUAAGAACUUUGAGACAUGUACGCUAUGGUGUACACUUUAGUUUACACUUUUCCACGUGACAUUACCCUAUCAGACAGUUUAAAUUUUAAACAGUUUUUCCAUCCAAUAGACACUUGACAACAAUGCAAGUGUCAAACAAUGUGUCAAAAAUCAGUGAAUAAAUAGCAAAGUUCAAUCGGUAAGAAAUGCAAGUGUCAAACAACGUGUCAAAAAUCAGUGUACAAGUAGCAAAGUUCGAUCGGUAAGAACCUUGUGACAUUUACACUAUGUUCAAACAGUUUUCCCUUCCAAUUGAUACUUGACAACAAUUCAAGUGUCAAACAACGUGUUAAAAAUCAGUGUACAAAUAGAAUAGUUCAAUCGACAAGGACCUUGCUACAUGUACACUACGGUGUACAAUUUUGUUUACACCCUACCAUGUGACAUUACCCUGUUGGACAGUUUAAAUUUCAAACUAUUUUCCCAUCCGAUUGACACUUGACAACAAUAUAAGUGUCAAACAACGUGUUAAAAAUCAACGUACAAAUAGCAAAGUUCAAUUGGUAAGAACCUUACCACAUGUACACUACGGUGUUUACACUUUAUUUUACAAUUUUCCACGUGAAUUAUCCUGUUGGGCAGUUUAAAUUUCAAACAAUUUUUCAAUCUAAUUGACACUUGACAACAGUGCAAGUGUCAAACAACGUGUCAAAAAUCAGUCCAGAAAUAGCAAAGUUCAAUCGGUAAGAACCUUGCGACAUUAACACUAUGGUGUAUGCGCUUUAUUUUACACUUUGCCAUGUGACAUUACCCUGAUGGGCAGUUUAAAUUUCAAAGAGUUUUCCCAUCCAAUUGACACUUGAUAACAAUACAAGUGUCAAACAACAUGUCAAGAAUCAGUGUACAAAUAGCAAAUUACAAUCGUUAAGAACCUUGCGACACGUACACUACGGUGUAUACACUUUAUUUUUCACUUUGCCACAUAACAUUACCCUGUCGGACAGUUUAAAUUUCAAACAGUUUUGCUAUCUAAUUGACACUUGACAAAAUGCAAGUGUCAAACAACGUGUCAAAAAUUAUUCUACAAAUAGCUAAGUUCAAUCGGUAAGAACCUUGUGACAUGUACAAUAUGGUGUAUUCUUUAGUUUACACUUUGCCACGUGUCAUUACCCUGUUGGACAAUUUAAAUUACAACCAGUUUUCCCAUCCAAUUGACACUUGACAACAAUGCAAGUGUCAAAUAAGGUGUCCAUAAUUACUAUACAAAUAGCAAAGUUCAAUCGAUAAGGACCUUGCUACAUGUACAAUAUGGUGUACACUUUAGUUUACACUUUGCCACGUGAUAUUACCUUGUUGGACAGUUCAAAUUUCAAAUAGUUUUCCUAUCCAAUUAACACUUGACAACUAUGGUGUACACUUUAGUUUACACUUUGCCACGUGACAUUACCCUGUUAGAUAAUAUAAAUUUCAAACAAAUUUUCAAUCCAAUUGACACUUGACAACAAUGCAAGUAUCAAACAAAGUGUCGAAAAUCUGUGUACAAAUAGGAAAGUUAAAUGGGUAAGGACCUUGCCACAUGUACACUAUGGUGUACACUUUAAUUUACACUUUGACAUGUGAAGUUACCCUAUUGGAAAGUUUAAAUUUCAAACAGUUUUCCCAUCCAAUUUACACCUUGCCAUGUGACAUUACCUUGUUGGACUGUUUAAAUUUCAAACAGUUUUCCCAUCCAAUUGACACCUUUCAAACAGUUUUCCCAUCCAAUUGACACUUAAAAACAAUGCAAGUGUCAAACAAUGUGUCAAAAAUCAGUGUGCAAAUAGCUGUUUUCCGUCCAAUUGACACUUGACAACAAUGCAAGUGUCAAACAACGUGUCAAAAAUUAGUGCACAAAUAGCAAAGUUCAAUCUGUAAAAACCUCGCUACAUGUUUACUAUGGUGUACACUUUAGUUUACACAUUGCCACGUGAUAUUACCCUAUUGGACAGUUUAAUAUUGACACCUGAAAACAAUGCAAGUGUCAAACAACGUGUCAAAAAUCAUCGUAAAAAUAGCCGUUUUUCCAUCCAAUUAACACUUGACAACAAUACAAGUGUCAAACAACAUGUAAAAAAUCAGUGUACAAAUCGCAAAGUUCAAUCGGUAAUGUGACGCCCCGAACUUAAGUUUCGAGGGUCACGUACUAAACAUAAUAGCUUUUGCCUUUGGUACAUGUAAAUACUCUUAAAUAGAAGUAUUACAUGUUAGAAACUUAUUUUCAAUUUGGUAAAACAAUUCUUAUAAAAUCUGAUGGCCGACAAAAGUGCACGUCGACAAGAAAUUAUACUUUACAUAUACGGCCUCGACACUAUUAAGAUUAGUUGAGGCAGCACGUUUGACAAUUUUUAUAAAAUUCAUCCCAACUCUGUUUUACAUGAAAUUUGUGGCAUUAGAAAGAUAAUCUCAAGGAGUUUUCUAGGUUAAAAUAUGAAAAUUUUCCAAGAUCAUAUGAUAUAGACGUUUUACUGAAAACAGUGAAGUAUUACACAGGAAAUCCAGAUUGACCCCUUGAUGUUAAAACCAUGAUAACUCAGGUCAUAGAUAUCCAAAUUGAGUGAUUCCUUCGGCCAUAUUUAGAAAACUCAAAGAGAAAAACAGACAUAUUUUUAGAGUCUAAAACGGACGUUUAUGGAGUUAGAAACAUCAUUUUGAAAUUGACUCCAGAAACUGUCUCGUUUCUGCUUUUAUCACUUGUAAAGAAAAUUAACUACAAAAAUGUCUCUUAACAUAACAUGAAAGAUAUAAUUACAAAAUCUACUAUUAAUACCAUAUUACAUCAUAUCAUGUACAUAUUUUUACAUAGUACCAUAAGAAAAAUAAAUGGAAAAACAGUCAUCGAGCAAAACAUACAAAAGAAAACUUUCGGUUCAAAACAUCCUUGUCCUUAAUCCAUCAUCGCUUAAGCCAACUAACUUCCAUCAAUUCAACGAUCAUGGAUCUGAAAAUUUAGCAUAACAUACUAUGAGUAUAAGAAAUACUCAGUAAGAUACCAUGCUCGUAUUUUUAUCAUGAUAAUACUACACAAAAGAAUGCAAUCAAACCCAUACUUGCACAUUCCGGCUUGCCGGUGCCCUUCGGACUUGUCCUAAGGCAUAAAUAGAUAUCUAACUUUGUGGACUUGUCCACCAUAAUCAUAUUAUGGUUUUUCAUGCAUAGUUUAAGCAUAAAUAUUACCAUGAAAAUUGUACCCCUUAAGCAUAGAAAGUAUCUUACCGUAAAACUUGAUGAUCUUUGUUUGAAAAGUAAGUUGAAAGUGUUAAGCUCACUUCUUUUUCUUCCUUCCUUAAAUUUCGGUUUUUGCCUCUCUUUUCAAAUGUAUAAGUGUUUUGUAGAAAUGAAAGAAAUCUCUUUCUCUAUGGCAUGGAUAGGGGUAUAUUUAUACUUGUAUAAGAGGAUAAGUAUAAAAAGAUAUAUUUUUUUUUAUUAAUUGUUGUGGCCGACUUUGACCCCUUUUUUUUUUUUUAAUACUUGUACACUUGUUUAAUCUAUGAUCCAAAUGUAUGGUGGUGAUGGAUAACAAGUGGGGUUGAUUAUAAGUAAUUAGUAGCCUAAAGACCUAUAUUUGCAAAGGAAAUCUCUAAUCUUCCAACUAAUAUAAUCCAACCCUCUAUCUUUCAUUAUUAGCAAAUGUAUCCCAAAUCUAAACUUAUAUCCAACUUACAUAUUCAAAAAUUGUAGAUCGUAAAUUAAUUUAAUCAUUUGGUCAAUUGAAGUCCUAACAAAAUAAUCGACCACAUUCAAUUUCAAACUUGACUUAAGUUUCGACUAACUAAUAAUCGCUUCAUGCUUGUAGUCAUUAGCUACCUCUAACAUUAACCACUACAAAGGUGGUGUCCCCUUUUCUUAUGGCCAAAAAUAGUAUUGAAAGUUAAAUCGCCAUCUUAAAGAAAUUUAAAUCAGCAUAAAAUUUCUGAGUAUUACAGGUAAGAACCUUGCUACGUGUACACUAUGGUGUACACUUUAGUUUACACUUUACCACGUGACAUUACCCUAUUCGACAGUUUAAAUUUAAAACAGUUUUCCCAUCCAACAACGUGUCAAAAAUUAGUGCAGAAAUAGCAAAGUUCAAUCGGUAAGAACCUUACAACAUGUACACUAUGGUGUACACUUUAGUUUACACUUUACCACGGGUCAUUACCCUAUUGGACAACUUAAAUUUCAAAUAGUUUUCCCAUCUAAUUGACAUCUAAAAACAAUGCAAGUGUCAAACAACGUGUCGAAAAUAUAUACACAAAUAGCAAAGUUUAAUUGAUAAAAACCUUGCGACAUGUACACUAUGGUGUACACUUUAGUUUACACUUUGUCUCGUGACAUUACCCUACUCGACAGUUUAAAUUUCAAACAAUUUUCCCAUCCAAUUGGCACUCGAUAAGAAUACAAGUGUCAAGCAACGUGUCAAAAAGCAGUGUACAAAUAGCAAUGUUCAAUUGGCAAGAACCUUACUACAUGUAUACUAUGGUGUACAUUUUACUUUACACUUUGCCACGUGACAUUACCCUGUUUGACAGUUUAAAUUUCAAAUAGUUUUUCCAUCCAAUUGACACUUGACAACAAUGCAAGGGUCAAACAACGUGUGAAAAAUCAAUGUACAAAUAGAAAAGUUCAAUCGGUAAGGACCUUGCUACAUAUACUCUAUGGUUUAUACUUUAGUUUACACUUUGGCACGUGACAUUACCAUGUUGGACAAUUUAAAUUUUAAGUAAAUUUUCCAUCCAAUUGACACUUGACAAUAAUACAAGUGUCAAACAACGUGUCAAAAACCAGUGUACGAAUAGCAAAGUUCAAUCUGUAAGGAUCUUGCUACAUGUACACUAUGAUUUACACUUUACCACGUGACAUUACUCUGUUGGACAGUUUAAAUUUAAAAUAGUUUUCUCAUCCAAAUGACACUUGACAUCAAUGCAAGUGUCAUACAACGCGUCAAAAAUCAGUGUACAAAUAGAAAAGUUUAAUAGAACCUUGCGACAUGUACAUUAUGGUGUACACUUUAGUUCACACUUUGCCGCAAGUCAUUGCCCAAUUGGCAAAUUUAAAUUUCAAAUAAUUUUCCCGUCCAGAGACUUGACAAUGAUGCAAGUGUAAAAGAAUGUGUCAAAAAUUAGUGUACAAGUAGCAAAGUUCAAUCGGUAAGAGCCUUGCUAAAUUUACACUAUGGUGCACACUUUAGUUUACACUUUACCCCGUUACAUUACUAUAUUGGACAGUUUAAAUUUCAAAUAAUUUUUCCAUCCAAUUAACACUUGAUAACAAUACAAGUGUCAAACAAAGUAUCAAAAAUCAGUGUACAAAUAGUAAAUGUCAAUCGGUAAGGACAUUGCCACAUGUACACUAUGGUGUACACAUUAGUCUACACUUUGCCACGUGACAUUACCCUAUUGGACAGUUUAAAUUUCAAACAAUUUUCCCAUCCCAUUGACACUUGACAACAAUGCAAGUGUCAAACAACGUGUCAAAAAUUAGUGUACAAAUAGCAAAGUUCAAUCGGUAAGAACCUUGCUUCAUGUACACUAUGGUGUACACAUUAGUUUACACUUUGCCACGAGCCAUUAUCCUGCCGGACAGUUUAAAUUUCUAACAAUUUUUCGAUCCAAUUAACAUUUGGCAACAAUGCAAGUGUCAAACAACGUGUCAAAUAUUAGUAUACAAAUAGCAAAGUUCAAUCGGUAAGAACCUUGCUACAUUAAGAAUAUGGUGUAAACUUUAGUUUUACACUUUGACACAUGACAUUGCCUAUUGGACAGUUUAAAUUUCGAACAAUUUUUCCAUCCAAUUGACACUUGAGAACAAUGUAAGUGUCAAACAACGUGUCAAAAAUCAGUGCACAUAUAGCAAACUUCUAUCGAUAAGAACCUUGCAACAUGUACACUAUAGUGUACACUUUAAUUUACACAUUGCCACAUGAUAUUACCCUUUUGGACAGCUUUAGUUUCAAGCAAUUUUUCCAUCCAAUUAACACUCGACAACAAUGCAAGUGUCAAACAAUAGAUAAAAAAUCAGUGUCCUUAUAGCUAUGUUCAAUCGGUAUGAACCUUGCUACAUGUACACCACGGUGUACACACAUUAAUUGACACUUUGUCACAUGACAUUAACCUAUUGGACAGUAUAAAUUUCAAAAAGUUUUCCCAACUGAUUGACACUUGACAAUAAUGUAAGUGUCAAACAACGUGUCAAAAAUCAAAGUACAAAUAGCAAAGUUUAAUCGAUAUAAACCUUGCUAGAUAUACACCUUAGUUUACACUUUGCCACGUGGCAUUACCCUAUUGGACAGUUUAAAUUUCAAAUAGCUUUUUCAUCCAAUUGACACUUGACAACAAUUCAAGUGUCUAACAACGUGUCAAAAAUCACUGUACAAAUAGCAAAGUUCGAUCGGUAUAAACCUUACGACAUGUACUCUAUGGUGUACACUAUACUUUACACCUUGCCACGUGACAUUACCUUGUCGGACAGUUUAAGUUUCAAAUAGUUAUCUCAUCCAAUUGACACUUGACAAAAAUUAAAGUGUCCAAAAACGUUUCAAAAAUCAUUGUACAAAUAGCAAAGUUCAAUCGGUAAGAACCUUGCGACAUGUACACUCUGGUGUACACUUUGGUUUAUACUUUUCCACGUGACACUACCCUACUGGAAAAUUAUAAUUUCAAACAGUUUUCCCAUCCAUUUGACACUUGACAACAAUGAAAGUGUCAAACAACAUGUCGAAAAUCAAUGUACAAAUAGCAAAUUUCAAUCAGUAAAAACCUUGCUAUAUAUAUACUAUGGUGUACACUUUAAUUUAUGCACGUUACCCUGUUGGACAGUUUAAAUUUCAAAUAGUUUUUUCAUCCAAUUGACACUUGACAACAAUACAAGUGUCAAACAACGUGUCGAAAAUCAGUAUACAAAUAGCAAAGUUCAAUGAGUAAGGACCUUGCUACAUGUACACUAUGGUUUACACUUUAGUUUACACACAUUACCUUGUUGGACUAUUUACAUUUCAAACAGUUUUCCCGUCCAAUUGAGACUUGACGACUAUGCAAAUGUCAAACAACGUGUCAAAAAUCUGUAUACAAAUAGCAAAGUUCAAUCUGUAAGGACCUUGCUACAUGUACAUUAUGGUUUACACUUUAGUUUACACUUUGCUACGUGACAUUACCCUAUUGGACAGUUUAAAUUUCAAACAGUUUUCUCAUCCAAUUAACCCAAGACAACAAUGCAAGUGUCAAACAACAUGUCCAAAAUUAGUUCAAAAAUAGCAAAGUUCAAUCGGUAAGGACCUUGCUAUGUGUACACUAGGGUGUACACUUUAGUUUAUACUUUGCCACGUGACAUUACCCUGUUGGACAGUUUGAAUUUCAAAUAGUUUUCCUAUCCAAUUAACACUUGACAACAAUGCAAGUGUUAAACAACGCGUCAAAAAUCAGUUUACAAAUAACAAAAUUCAAUCGGUAUGGACCUUGGUACAUGUACACUAUCGUAAACACUUUGCCAAGUGACAUUACCCUGUUGGACAGUUUAAAUUUCAAACAAUUUUCUCAUCCAGUUGACACUUGACAACAAUGCAAGUAUCAAACAACGUGUCAAAAAUCAGUGUACAAAUAGCAAAGUUCAAUCGGUAAGAACCUUGCUACAUGUACACUAUGGUGUACACUUUAGUUUACACUUUGCCACGUGACAUUACCCUGUUGGACAGUUUAAAUUUCAAAUGUUUUUCCCGUCUAAUUGACAUUUGACAACAAUAAAAAUGUCAUACAACGUGCCAAAAAUCUUUGUACAAAUAGCAAAGUUAAAUCGGUAAGAACCUUUGUACAUGUACACUACGGUGUACACUUUUCCACAUGACAUUACCCUAUUUGACAAUUUUAGUUUCAAAUAGUUUUCCCAUCCAAUUGACACUUGACAAUAAUGCAAGCGUCUAACAACGUGUCAAAAAUAGGUGUGCAAAUUGUAAAGUUCAAUCGGUAAGGACAUUGCUACAUGUACACUAUGGUGUACACUUUAGUUUGCGCUUUGCCACGUGACAUUACCCCAUUAGACAGUAUAAAUUUAAACCAAUUCUCCCAUCGAAUCGACACUUGACAACAAUGCAAGUAUCAAACAACAUGACAAAAAUCUGUGUACAAAUAGCAAAGUUCAAUUGGUAAGAACCUUACGACAUGUACAUUAUGGUGCACACUUUAGUUUAUACUUUGCCAUGUGACCAAUCCAAUUGACACAUGACAACAAUGCAAGUGUCAAACAACGUGUCAAAAAUCAAUAUACAAAUUACAAAGUUCAAUCGGUAAGGACCUUGCUACAUGUACACUAUGGUGUACAUUUUAGUUUAAACUUUGCCACGUGACAUUACCCUGUUAGACAGCAUAAAUUCCAAACAGUUGUCCCAUCUAAUUGACACUUAACAGCAACAUAAGUGUCAAACAACAUGUCAAAAAUCAGUGUACAAAUAGCAAAGUUCAAUCGGUAAGAACCUUACUACAUGUAUAAUAUGGUGUACACUUUAGUUUACACUUUGUCAUGUGAAAUUGCCCCGUUGGACAGUUUAAAUUUCAAAUAGUUUUCCCAUCCAAUUGACACUUGACAACAAUGCAAAUGUCAAACAACGUAUCAAAAGUUGGUGUACAAAUAGCUAAGUUCAAUUGGUAAGAACUUUGCAACCUGUACACUAUGAUGUACACUUUAGUUUACACCUUGCCUUGUGAUAUUACCCUGUUGGACAGUUUAAAUUUCAAACUAUUUUCCCAUCCAACUGACACUUGACAACAAUGUAAGUGUCAAACAACGUGUCAAAAAUUAGUGUACAAAUAGAAAUGUUAAAUCGGUAAGGACCAAGCUACAUGUGCACUAUGGUGUACACUCUUGUUUACCAUUUGCCACGUGACAUUACCCUGUCGAACUGUUUAAAUUUCGAACGGCUUUCCCAUCCCAUUGACACUUGACAACAAUGGAAGUGUCAAACAACGUGUCAAAAAUUAGUGUACAAAUAGAAAUGUUCAAUCGGUAAGGACCAAGCUACAUGUACACUAUGGUGUACACUCUUGUUUACCAUUUGCCACGUGACAUUACCCUGUCGAACUGUUUAAAUUUCAAGCGGCUUUCCCAUCCCAUUGACACUUGACAACAAUGGAAGUGUCAAACAAUGUGUCAAAAAUUAGUGUACAAAUAGCAAUGUUCAAUCGGUAAGUACCUAGCUACACAUACACCAUGGUGUACACUUUAGUUCAAACUUUGCCACGUGACAUUACCCUGCUGGAUAGUUUAAAUUUCAAACGGUUUUCUCGUCCAAUUGACAUUUGACAACAAUGAAAGUGUUAUACAACGUGCCAAAAAUCUUUGUACAGAUAGCAAAGUUCAAUCGGUAAGAACCUUGGUACAUGUACACUACGGUGUACACUUUAGUGUACACUUUUUCACAUGACAUUACCCUAUUUGACAAUUUUAGUUUCAAAUAGUUUUCCCAUCCAAUUGACACUUGAAAAAAAUGCAAUUGUCUAACAACGUGUCAAAAAUGGGUCUGCAAAUUGUAAAGUUCAAUCGGUAAGGACCUUGCUACAUGUACACUAUGGUGUACACUUUAGUUUGCGUUUUGCCACGUGACAUUACCCCGUUGGAUAGUACAAAUUUCAACCAGUUCACCCAUCCAAUUGACACUUGACAACAAUACAAGUAUCAAACAACAUGACAAAAAUCUGUGUACAAAUAGCAAAGUUCAAUCAGUAAGAACUUUGGUACAUGUACACUACGGUGUGCACUUUAGUUUACACUUUGUCACGUGACAUUACCCUGUUUUACAGUUUAAAUUUCAAAUAGUUUUCCCAUCCAAUUGACACUUUGCAACAAUGCAAGUGUCAAACAACGUAUCAAAAAUCUGUGUAAAAAUAGCAAAGUUCAAUCGUUAAGACCCCUGGUACAUGUACACUACGAUGUACACUUUAGUUUACACUUUACCACGUGACAUUACCCUAUUUUACAGUUUAAAUUUCAAACAGUUUUCCCAUCCAAUUGACACUUGGCAACAAUGCAAGUGUUAAACAUCAUGUCAAAAAUCUGUGUACAAAUAGCAAAGUUCAAUCGGUAAGACCCUUACGACAUGUACACUGUGGUGUUUUUACACUUUUCCAAGUGACACUACCCCAUUGGUCCGCUUAAAUUUCAAGCAGUUUUCCCAUCCAAUUAACAUUUGACAAUAAUGUAAAUGUCAUACAACGUGUCAAAAAUCUUUGUACAAAUAGCAAAGUUCAAUUGGUAAGAACCUUGGUACUUGUACAUUACGGUGUACAUUUUAGUUUGCUCUUUCCCAUGUGACAUUACCCCGUUAGACAGUAUAAAUUAUAACCAGUUUUCCCACCCAAUUGACACUUGACAACAAUGCAAGUGUCAAACGAUGUGUCAAAAAUUGCUGUACAAAUAGCAAAGUUCAAUCAGUAAGAACCUUGUCACAUGUACACUAUGGUGUACACUCUAGUUUACCCUUUGCCACGUAAAAUUACCCUAUUGGAUAGUUUAAAUUUCAAAUGGUUUUCCCAUCCAAUUGACACUUGAAAACAAUGCAAGUGUCAAACAACGUGUCAAAAAUCAGUGUACAAAUAGCAAUGUUCAAUCGGUAAGGACCUAGCAACACAUACACUAAGGUGUACAUUUUAGUCUAAACUUUAUCACGUGACAUUACCCUCUUGGACAUUUUAAAUUUCAAGCGGUUUUCCCAUCCAAUUGACACUUGAGAACAAUACCAGUGUCAAACAACGUGUCAAAAAUCAGUGUACAAAUAGCAAAGUUCAAUCGGUAUGAACCUUGCUACACAUACACUAUGGUGUACACUUUAGUUUAAACUUUGCCACGUGACAGCCCGCUAGACUGUUUAAAUUUCAAAUAGUUUUCCCAUCCAAUUGACACUUGACAACAAUGCAAGUGUCAAACAAUGUGUCAAAAGUUGUUGUACAAAUAAUAAUGUUCAAUCGGUAAAAACCUUUCUACAUAUACACUUUGGUGUACACUUUGCCACGUGACAAUACCCAGUUAGACAGUAUAAAUUUGAAAUAGUUUUCCCAUCCAAUUGACACUUGACAACAAUGCAAGUGUCAAACAACGUGUCAAAAAUCUGUGCACAAAUAACAAUGUUCAAUCGGUAAGAACCUUGCGAAAUGUACACUAUAGUGUACACUUUAGUUUACACUUUCCCACGUGACACUACCCCGCUGUACAGUUUAACAUUCAAACAAUUUUCCCAUCCAAUGACACUUGACAACAAUGCAAGUGUCAUACAACGUGUCAAAAAUCAGUGUACAAAUAGCAAAGUUCAAUCGGAAAGAACCUUCCUUCAUGUACACAACGGUGGACACUUUAGUUUACACUUUACCACGUGACAUUAUCCUAUUGGACAGUUUAAAUUUCAAAAAGUUUUUCCAUCCAAUUGACACUUGACAACAAUGCAAGUGUCAAACAACAUGUCCAAAAUCUGUGUACAAAUUGUAAAGUUUAAUCGGCAAUGACCUUGCUACAUUAAACUAUGGUGUACACUUUAGCUUACAAUUUGCCAUGUGACAUUACCCUGUUGGACACUUUAAAUUUCAAAUAGUUUUCCCAUCCAAUUGACACUUGACAACAAUGCAAGUGUCAAACAACGUGUUAAAAAUCAGUGUACAAAUAGCAAAGUUCAAUCGGUAAGAACCUUGCUACAUGUACACUAUGGUGUACACUUUAGUUUACACUUUGUCACGUGAGAUUACCCUGUUGGAGAGUUUAAAUUUCAAACCAUUUUUCCAUCGAAAUAACACUUGUGAACAAUACAAGUAUCAAACAACGUGUCGAAAAUCAGUAUAUAAAUAGAAAAGUUCAAUCGGUAAAAACCUUGCUAUAUAUACACUAUGGUGUACACUUUUAUUUACACUUUACCAUGUGACAUUACCCUGUUGGGCAGUUUAAAUUUCAAAUAGUUUUCCCAUCCAAUUGACACUUGACAACAAUGCAAGUGUCAAACAACGUGUCAAAAAUCGGUGUACCAAUUGCAAAGUUCAAUCGCUAAGAACCUUGCUACAUGUACACUAUAGUGUGUUUACAGUUUGCCAUGUGACAUUACCCUGUUAGACAGUUUAAAUUUCAAAUAGUUUUCCCCUCCAAUUGACACUCGGAAACAAUGCAAGUGUCAAACAAUGUGUUGAAAAUCAAUGUACAAACAGCAAAGAUUCAAUUCGUAAGAAACUCGCUACAUGUACACUAUAGUGUACACUUUACUUUACACUUUGCCACGUGACGUUAUCAUGUUUGACAGUUUAAAUUUCAAACAGUUUUCCCAUUCAAUUGACACUUGAAAACAAUGUAAGUGUCAAACAACUUGUAAAGAAUCAUUGAACAAAUAGCAGAGUUCAAUCGGUAAGAGCCUUACUGCAUGUACACUAUGCUUUACCCACCUUAGUUUACACUUUGCCACGUGACAUUACCCUGUUGACCAUUUUGAAUUUCAAAUAGUUUUCCCAUCUAAUUGACAAUUUGUAAAAUCCCGAAAUUUUUUAGUUUUUCAUUUAAUUUAUUUGCCAUUUAAUAGGAAUGCAAUGUUUAGUUAAGUCCUUACCCAAGUUAAUUGGCUACCUCUAUAGUAAAUUUGGAUCUAUGUGGAUAUCUUUAUAGUUGAGGGACCGAAGUGAAAAUAAAUAUCAAAAUUAUACUUUUAUUAAAUGGGCCAAAUAGUUAACUGUUGAAUGAGGUAGAAUUACCCUAUCAAUAUUGGGCUCAUUUUGAAGCUCGUAAUAAAUGGCGAAUUAUGGACUCAAGAAAAAAUUAAUUUGGUCAAGUUAAACUCGAGUUAUAGCCAAUUAAGAAAACUACUUAGUUAAUAAUAUUAGUUACAAUAUGGACUAAAUUACUCUUUCAAUAUUGGACUCCUUUGAUAGAUAAUAAUUAAUUAUAUAUUUAUUAGGAUUAAGAAAAUGAUAUUUUGGAUAAGUUGAAUUAAGAUGGAAUCAAUGGAAGAAUCAAGGUAUAAAUGAAAUUCUAAUUUAAUUACUAGGCAUACGGUUCACAAUUCUCGGCCACUAUGAAUAAUAUAUGUUAAGUAUUGAUAAUUAUAAAAUUUAAAGAUAAUUGAUUAAAACGUAAUCAUAAUAAUUUUCCAGAAACUAUUAAAUUCCUUUUUAAUGCUAAUCUACUUUAAUUAGGAUAGAAACUAUUGUUCUUAAUCAUGUAGGAUUCGGAUUAUGAUAAAGUUUCCCAAUAAUUUUAGUAUUAGAAUAAUUAGGACUCUAAUUAAUUAAACUAGUUAAGUCGUAUAGAUUGGCAUGGAAACUUUCUGUCAUUUAUUUUGAUUUAAUCAAAGGUAGGAGAUAAAUUAGUUAUUUGUUUAAGUUGUGUGUUGUAUAAAAUAUGCAAUUAGGAGACCAAUUUGCCUUACUUUUCCACGUGUUGACAGGAUAUGCAGUCAUUGGGUCUCCUUAUUAAAAUUGUAUUGGAUUUGGAAUUUAUCAAAACAAAUAGUUAUCCCCAAAUCAGAUAGAAGUCUAGUUGCCGAGGAGUGUAUGGACGGAAAUUUAGAAUUCAAAACUUAUCAAAAUUCCACUUCCCACGUGAUUACCCUACACCAUGGUUUAGUAUAAAUAUAGCACUAAACCUCAAGCAUUUAGUCAUUAAUUCCUCAUUCUUCUUCUACAAGUCUUUAUUCUCUCCUCCUCUUUAAAAAUAUUUCUCCAUAUUAUUAAGGCUUUUUAAGGCUUUGGAAUUUCAAUAAAGAAUCACGUUUUCAGCAAUUUUGCUUUCCACGUUCAUCUUCAAAAGGUGAGAUGCUCAGUGCUAUUAGUGGUUUGUCCACAUCUUUUCAAAUACGUUGUUAUGUAUGGAUUUAAUUACUUCAGUUCAAGGCUCCUUCGGGAGAAAUCAUGAUACAUUUUAAGGCACAAUUUAGCGUUCACAUUAUUUUGCAGUGCUUGCUUGAAUUAUCAUUUGUCAUGGUGUGAUAAUUCUCAUGUUAUAUUGGUAAGAGAAUUUAUACAUAAUUUCACGUUUGAUUUGAAUGUGGAGUAGCAAGAAUCUCAUUGAGUAUAAUUCGUUAUACUCAUCCCUCUUUAUUUACAAUUUUCAGGUAAAAAGUAGUAUGCUGGAUGGCGGUGGAUGGAUAUGCAAUUGGACCAAUGGAUCUUCGUCAUGAAGUACUUUAAUUUUUAGGAACACU
rnacentral:lncRNA from 1 species